ACGCUCGACACCUACGGGAGGCAGCAGUUGGGAAUAUUGGACAAUGGAGGAAACUCUGAUCCAGUGACGCCGCGUGAAGGAAGAAGGUCUUCGGAUUGUAAACUUAUUUUGUCAGGGAAGAAAAAAUGACUGUACCUGAAGAAAAAGCACCGGCUAACUACGUGUCAGCAGCCACGGUAAUCUGAGCGGGCUGGCAAGGC
rnacentral:rRNA from 1 species